AUCAAGGAUUUUUUAAAAUCUAAAAAUAGCAACAGUAAAAUAAUAG
rfam:Pongo abelii chromosome X.